rnacentral:rRNA from 1 species
GACAGGUGCUGCAUGGCUGUCGUCAGCUCGUGUUGUGAAAUGUUGGGUUAAGUCUCGCAACGAGCGCAACCCCUAUCUUUAGUUGCCAGCAUUAAGUUGGGCACUCUAGAGAGACUGCCCGGGUUAACCGGGAGGAAGGUGGGGAUGACGUCAAGUCCUCAUGGCCCUUAUGCCUAGGGCUACACACGUAAUACAAUGGCACUAACAAAGGGACGCGAACCAGCGAUGGGGAGCAAAUCUCAAAAAUAGUGUCCCAGUCCGGAUUGGAGUCUGCAACUCGACUCCAUGAAGUUGGAAUCGCUAGUA